rnacentral:lncRNA from 1 species
ACCGAGACUCAUCAAAAUCUUUUCAAACCUCAAGGAAAAUUCUUCAAAAAAAAGAAAUCUAAAUCCUUCAAACCUAGUUUCUUCCUCCAAAUCUCCUAGAAGCCAUAACCAUCCAAAGCAAAACCAAAUAAGGAGAUCUUCUACUUCAUAUGGAUAAAUCAUAUGGCAAAGGACUGCUACCAUAGAAAGACUGAACCGUGGA